rfam:Rattus norvegicus chromosome 9, whole genome shotgun sequence.
GGGGAUUUAGCUCAGUGGUAGAGCGAUUGCUUAGGAAGCGCAAGGCCCUGGGUUCAGUCCCCAGCUCCG